rnacentral:rRNA from 1 species
GCGCCUACGGGACGCAGCAGUAGGGAAUAUUGCUCAAUGGGGGAAACCCUGAAGCAGCAACGCCGCGUGGAGGAUGACGGUUUUCGGAUUGUAAACUCCUUUUGUUAGAGAAGAUAAUGACGGUAUCUAACGAAUACGCACCGGCUAACUCCGUGCCAGCAGCCGCGGCAAUACGGCGGGUGCGAGCGUUACUCGGAAUCACUGGGCGUAAAGAGCGCGUAGGCGGGAUAGCAAGUCAGAUGUGAAAU